AUGAGACAAUGCCAAUGUUCCUACCAAAUGCAGAAUCAAACAUGCACUCUUCCAAACCAUUAUCUUUUCUGUAAGGUCUGUUGUUUUGCAAGGCUGUGUUCUUCUCAGAACCAUGUAUCUUUAAUCGUUUCUCUCUUUGUGUUCCAUGGCAGGGUCAAUGAGGAUGGAGGGCUGCUCACUCCACCUCUAACACGUCUGAACAGACACUGCUGCACAGAGGAUAAGAAAGGGUAUCGCCAUCCAUCUCACAGAGGCCACAAAUCUGCUCCUCCACUCCUCACGACUGAAAAGGGUGAGCCAGCAGCCGAAAACCAGCAAACUUGAGGAUGGGGAGAAACCAGAGGGAUUGCGAAUGAGUUGGCAGGUGAGAGCAAAAUGAGAGAAAGAGACAACCAGGGCUACAGGCUGAUGCUUGAUCAUCCUGAUCCUCAGGGCCUGAUUCUGCUCUAUCUGAUGAGGAUGGGAGUUUGAGUUACAGUGAUAUUCCAUCAUUGUCAUGACAUGUUCACUGGUAAGGCUUAGAAACUAGGACUGGGUUUUGGGAUAGUCUUUGCCAAGUACACUCGUAAAAAAACGUGCUAUCUGAACCAAAAAAUUAUCUGGGUUAUUUGGCUGUCCCCAUACGAGACCCAUUUGAAGAAUCCCUUUUGGCUUCAUGUAGAACUCUUUUGGUUCCAGGUAGUACUCUUUUGGGUUCCAUAUAUAACCCUUUCCACACAGGGUUACAUGGAACCUAAAAGUGUUCUACCUGGAGGGUUCUCUUAUGGGGACAGCUGCAUAACUCUUUGAACCGUUUUUCUAGGAGUGUAGUGGCAUCCUAUCACAAUGAAAUGGAUAUCUUAUUUCCAAAAAUCUUCCUAGCAAAGCAUACAGUAACACCAAAGGUCCUCUAAUUAGUUACUCAUUGUGGAAGUAUGAUUCUGUAACAACUCUUGCAACAGAAAAAAUGAGUAUCAUGUUCAAGUAUUCUACUUUUGUUUAAAGUUAAUGUUGUCUAUAGUUAGCCCCUUGAUGGGUAACACUCCUUAGCUCUAUGAUAGCAAUACAUUUCUCCUCUGUGUUGUCCCCUCUGUAAUGGUGCUGCUGUGUUUGACAGAUGAAUAAUAGCUAGCAAGAGUUCUAGACUCACCCCAGCUCUGCAGUUCCCUGGGACACAGCUCAGGUCAGCUGAUUAAAAAGAUAACGAAUUGGUUUAAUAGAUGUUUGUUUUCCUCUGCAAUAUGUGUCCUUUUCCUCCAGACCCCGUGAGGGAGUUAUUUUUAUAAAUGACAAAUUGCGACAUUGAAUCGAGAAUGCUCCCAUCCCAAAAAACUGGGCAAAAACUGGUUUAAUCAACGUUGUUUACAUGUCAUAUAAACAACAAAAUGAUAUGGGAUGAUAUUGAAUCAGCAUGGAACACUGAACACUGAAAAAGUAAUCAAUGUAAGAUAUUUUUUUUAACCCAACU
rnacentral:lncRNA from 1 species